AGCUAAAUAGUUUAUAUUAAAACAUUAAUUUUGUAAAUUAAAGAUAAAAUAAUUUUUUAGCUU
rnacentral:tRNA from 1 species